CCUACGGGCGGCUGCAGUAGGGAAUUUUCGGCAAUGGGGGCAACCCUGACCGAGCAAUGCCGCGUGAACGACGAAGGUCUUCGGAUCGUAAAGUUCUGUGAUUGGGGAAGAACAGCAUGAUCAGGAAAUGGGUCAUGUUUGACGGUACCCGAUUAGAAAGCCCCGGCUAACUAUGUGCCAGCAGCCGCGGUAAAACAUAGGGGGCGAGCGUUAUCCGGAAUUAUUGGGCGUAAAGAGUACGUAGGCGGCCUGUUAAGUCUGAUGUGAAAUCCCGCGGCUUAACCGCGGAGGGUCAUUGGAAACUGGCAGGCUUGAGUACGGCAGGGGUAAGUGGAAUUCCAAGUGGAGCGGUGAAAUGCGUAGAUAUUUGGAGGAACACCAGUGGCGAAGGCGGCUUACUGGGCCGGAACUGACGCUGAGGUACGAAAGCGUGGGGAGCAAACAGGCUUAGAUACCCCGGUAGUC
rnacentral:rRNA from 1 species